UCGAAUGGGAACCGGGAAGGGCCUCAUUGGUUCCCAUUCGAUUGGUCAGCGGUUUGGCUCUGAUUUGGCCAUAGGCAGAUUCAGCAUCGAAAAACGAGCCAAUGGGAGAAAAUUUACCUUGUUUGGCGGUCGAAAAAUCCUCUGGUGCGGCGUUGGGUGGCGGUGAACAGCUUCUCUGGUGAUUGGUUCUUCUUCUCCGGCGAGGGUACUGGCGGCUAGGGCUUGGGGUUGGGUGUGGGUGAGGUUAUUUAUAAUCUUCCCCUUUUAAUCUCAGCCGUCCAUUAUGAUUUAAUCGCGAUGAGAUCUGAGCCAUCCGUGCGUGAUUCAAUGUGGAUCGUCCACACGCGUGAGAUCUGGGCCGUCCGUGCGCAUGAGAUCUGGACCGUCCGUAC
rnacentral:lncRNA from 1 species